UGGUACAGCCGUUCUGAUCUAUUCUUUUACUUUCUUCUUCUUACUUUUAAUUUACGUUAUUUUUUGUAUUUUUUUUCUCACAGUAACACGACAAAGCUGCACCCUCUCUAAUAUGCUGGUAAAGAGAGUUUUAUUUGGGUUUUCUUUAGCGCUGGAAAUGGUUACAUCCCGAUACGUGGGACAGAAACAAGGUCGCAUUGUGUAUCCCACGGACCAGCAAAUUCCGGCCGGCUUAGUGAACAGAGCGGCAGACACCCCUGCUGAAAUCCGGAGGAAAACACACAGACGGGGAUCACAAAGCCGAGGAAAGAGGACCGGGUCGAGACAACAGAGACUUUUGGAGAAGAGGAGUUCGAUUGUUAAUACCGUUCCGCCUGACCGGAAGUGCACCGAGAGUGAUACCUGAAAGAAAAUGAAUCUCAAUGAAUCUCUGGUCACUGAGAGAACUUGCAAACUCCACACAGACAGCACCCCAGCAACUGGACAACUUUCUUAGAGCAACUUUCGAUUUACAAGUGGUGUGCGGACUGACCGCUAAAUUCUAAAAUAGAGCUAACCAAAGCUUCACACAACUGUAACUUCAUUUCCAUUCUUCGUAUCCCUCUCUUGAGAUUAAGAUUCAAGGAAAUGUUUAAAUGUUUUGUUUUGAAUGGUUCAGUCACCACCCCGGACAGGCUCUAUUCUGAUUGCUACCACCAGAGAGGAGGUACGGGAGCCUGAAGACUCCUGACACAC